AAUGUCGUAACAAGGUUUCCGUAGGUGAGUAGCCUCUAGCUCGUUUUGUGUUUUUCGUGAAUUUUUGGCUGAUUUUCAAUUUAGGUGAACCUGCGGAAGGAUCAUUACCGAGUACUCCUGCUUGCAGGAACUCCCACCCGUGAUCAAUUCCACCGUUGCUUCGGCAAGACGUUGGAAACGGCCAUCGCCCUUGAAUUAAUACCAAUGACGGUGUGAGCUUGCCGGAGUCUUAUACUCUUAAAUCUAUGUAUUAGUCAGAGAAAUCAGCAAUAAUAAAAG
rnacentral:misc_RNA from 1 species